UGCCCCUACGGGGCGCAGCAGUGAGGAAUAUUGGUCAAUGGCCGAGAGGCUGAACCAGCCAAGUCGCGUGAGGGAAGAAUGUCCUAAGGAUUGUAAACCUCUUUUGUCGGGGAGCAAAAAGGCUCUGCGGAGUCGUAUUGAGAGUACCCGAAGAAAAAGCAUCGGCUAACUCCGUGCCAGCAGCCGCGGUAAUACGGAGGAUGCGAGCGUUAUCCGGAUUUAUUGGGCGUAAAGGGAACGCAGGCGGUCUUUUAAGUCUGAUGUGAAAGCCUUCGGCUUAACCGGAGUAGUGCAU
rnacentral:rRNA from 1 species